rnacentral:rRNA from 1 species
AUUGAACGCUGGCGGCAUGCCUUACACAUGCAAGUCGAACGGCAGCACGGGAGCAAUCCUGGUGGCGAGUGGCGAACGGGUGAGUAAAGUAUCGGAACGUGCCCAGUCGUGGGGGAUAACGUAGCGAAAGUUACGCUAAUACCGCAUACGAUCUAUGGAUGAAAGCGGGGGAUCGCAAGACCUCGCGCGAUUGGAGCGGCCGAUAUCAGAUUAGGUAGUUGGUAGGGUAAAGGCUCACCAAGCCGACGAUCUGUAGCUGGUCUGAGAGGACGACCAGCCACACUGGGACUGAGACACGGCCCAGACUCCUACGGGAGGCAGCAGUGGGGAAUUUUGGACAAUGGGCGAAAGCCUUAUCCAGCCAUGCCGCGUGCAGGAUGAAGGCCUUCUGGUUGUAAACUGCUUUUGUACGGAACGAAAAGGUUUGGGCUAAUAAGCUGAGCUCAUGACGGUACCGUAAGAAUAAGCACCGGCUAACUACGUGCCAGCAGCCGCAGUAA